rnacentral:rRNA from 1 species
AUUGAACGCUGGAGGUAUGCUUAACACAUGCAAGUCGAACGCGAACGUUUCUUCGGAAGCAAGUAGAGUGGCGGACGGGUGAGUAACGCGUAGGAAUAUACCUAGUAGUGGGGGAUAACUACCGGAAACGGUGGCUAAUACCGCAUAUGUCCCACGGGAUAAAGAGGGCCUCUUCUUGAAAGCUCUUGCUAUUAGAUUAGCCUGCGUCGGAUUAGCUUGUUGGUGGGGUAAUGGCCCACCAAGGCGACGAUCCGUAGCUGGUCUGAGAGGAUGAUCAGCCACACUGGGACUGAGACACGGCCCAG